rnacentral:ncRNA from 1 species
GAAAGUCGUGUGCAAUGAAAAAUGCAAGCACGAUUUGGGGAGGGAUUUUUUUCUAUUGUAACAAGGAAUAAUUAUCUACUCCAU